AUUGAACGCUGGCGGCAUGCCUUACACAUGCAAGUCGAACGGUAACAGGUCUUCGGAUGCUGACGAGUGGCGAACGGGUGAGUAAUACAUCGGAACGUGCCCAGACGUGGGGGAUAACGAGGCGAAAGCUUUGCUAAUACCGCAUACGGUCUAAGGAUGAAAGCAGGGGGCCGCAAGGUCUUGCGCGUUUGGAGCGGCCGAUGGCAGAUUAGGUAGUUGGUGGGAUAGAAGCUUACCAAGCCGACGAUCUGUAGCUGGUCUGAGAGGACGACCAGCCACACUGGGACUGAGACACGGCCCAGACUCCUACGGGAGGCAGCAGUGGGGAAUUUUGGACAAUGGGCGAAAGCCUGAUCCAGCAAUGCCGCGUGCAGGAUGAAGGCCUUCGGGUUGUAAACUGCUUUUGUACGGAACGAAAAGGCUCUGGCUAAUACCUGGGGCACAUGACGGUACCGCAAGAAUAAGCACCGGCUAACUACGUGCCAGCCGCCGCCGUAAAAC
rnacentral:rRNA from 1 species